rnacentral:rRNA from 1 species
AAUGAACGUUGGCGGCGUGGAUUAGGCAUGCAAGUCGAGCGCUCAUAGCAAUAUGGGAGCGGCGAACGGCGUAGUAAUAUGUAGGAACGUACCCUCGGGUCGGGGAUAGCCAUGGGAAACUGUGGGUAAUACCCGAUAAUCUCUGCGGAGCAAAGGUGUGAUUCCGCCUGAGGAGCGGCCUACACGAUAUUAGCUAGUUGGUAGGGUAAUGGCCUACCAAGGCUACGAUGUCUAGGGGGUGUGAGAGCAUGGCCCCCCACGACCGGAACUGAGAUACUGUCCGGACACCUACGGGUGGCUGCAGUCGAGAAUCUUCCGCAAUGGACGUAAGUCUGACGGAGCGACGCCGCGUGCGGGAUGAAGGCCCUUGGGUUGUAAACCGCUGUCAGAGGGGAUGAAAUCUUCGGAGGUGCUCCUCCAAAGUUGACAGAGCCUCAAAGGAAGCACGGGCUAAGUACGUG